GGGAAUGUCUUUACCUUUCCCAGGGCUUAGCAUUGAGCCUUCCAGGAGGUUGCUUCUCUGUAGACUGUAAAGAACUUCACAAGAAAGGGCUGUAGCCUGUGGACUCAAAGCAACUGAAGUAUCUAAGCUAAUUUACACAAGUCUCCAAGAAUGGAAAACAGGCCUCUGGCAUGGACUGUAACCUGCUUCUAAACAUACUUUCUUCUUCUGCUACCUACUGAGGUAGCAGUUGCGGUGGAGUUCAGCUGCCCAGCAAGGUAAAACCACCACAGGGAGAUAAGCAAAGGAAUGAAUAUGAAGGAGCUGAAGCAAAGGAGCUGAAAAGAUUGGCUUCCAAAAAAGCUGUUGAGGUCAGCAGUCAGUGCUCUUUGAGAACUUCACCCAGGUGCUAAGCAACCAGGACUGGUGAACCACAGAUCUUUGCACAUUCCUUUGCACUCCUGUAAAGAAGGUAUGACCAGGAUAUUAAACAGACCUU
rnacentral:lncRNA from 1 species